rnacentral:rRNA from 1 species
UAAUGUAUGGGGAUCUGCCCGAUAGAGGGGGAGUAACACUGGAAACGGUGGCUAAUACCGCAUAAUGUCUACGGACCAAAGCAGGGGCUCUUCGGACCUUGCACUAUCGGAUGAACCCAUAUGGAUUAGCUAGUAGGUGGGGUAAAGGCUCACCUAGGCGACGAUCUCUAGCUGGUCUGAGAGGAUGAUCAGCCACACUGGGACUGAGACACGGCCCAG